GCCCUGGUGGCACAAUGGUUCAGCGUUCAGCUGUUAACUGAAAGGUUGGUGGUUCGAAGCCACCCAGUGACU
rnacentral:tRNA from 1 species